rnacentral:rRNA from 1 species
UGAAGCUUGCUUCAAAAACGUUAGCGGCGGACGGGUGAGUAACACGUGGGCAACCUACCUUAUCGACUGGGAUAACUCCGGGAAACCGGGGCUAAUACCGGAUAACAUCUAGCACCUCCUGGUGCCGGAUUAAAAGAGGGCUUCUUGCUCUCACGAUGAGAUGGGCCCGCGGCGCAUUAGCUAGUUGGAGAGGUAACGGCUCCCCAAGGCGACGAUGCGUAGCCGACCUGAGAGGGUGAUCGGCCACACUGGGACUGAGACACGGCCCAGACUCCUACGGGAGGCAGCAGUGGGAAUCUUCCGCAAUGGACGAAAGUCUGACGGAGCAACGCCGCGUGAGUGAUGAAGGGUUUCGGCUCGUAAAGCUCUGUUAUGAGGGAAGAACACGUACCGUUCGAAUAGGGCGGUACCUUGACGGUACCUCAUCAGAAAGCCACGGCUAACUACGUGCCAGCAGCCGCGGUAAUACGUAGGUGGCAAGCGUUGUCCGGAAUUAUUGGCGUAAAGCGCGCGCAGGCGGCCUUUUAAGUCUGAUGUGAAAUCUUGCGGCUCAACCGCAAGCGGCCAUUGGAAACUGGGAGGCUUGAGUACAGAAGAGGAGAGUGGAAUUCCACGUGUAGCGGUGAAAUGCGUAGAUAUGUGGAGGAACACCAGUGGCGAAGGCGACUCUCUGGUCUGUAACUGACGCUGAGGCGCGAAAGCGUGGGGAGCAAACAGGAUUAGAUACCCUGGUAGUCCACGCCGUAAACGAUGAGUGCUAGGUGUUAGGGGUUUCGAUGCCCGUAGUGCCGAAGUUAACACAUUAAGCACUCCGCCUGGGGAGUACGGCCGCAAGGCUGAAACUCAAAGGAAUUGACGGGGGCCCGCACAAGCAGUGGAGCAUGUGGUUUAAUUCGAAGCAACGCGAAGAACCUUACCAGGUCUUGACAUCCUUUGACCACUCUGGAGACAGAGCUUCCCCUUCGGGGGCAAAGUGACAGGUGGUGCAUGGUUGUCGUCAGCUCGUGUCGUGAGAUGUUGGGUUAAGUCCCGCAACGAGCGCAACCCUUGACCUUAGUUGCCAGCAUUUAGUUGGGCACUCUAAGGUGACUGCCGGUGACAAACCGGAGGAAGGUGGGGAUGACGUCAAAUCAUCAUGCCCCUUAUGACCUGGGCUACACACGUGCUACAAUGGAUGGUACAAAGGGUUGCGAAGCCGCGAGGUGAAGCCAAUCCCAUAAAGCCAUUCUCAGUUCGGAUUGUAGGCUGCAACUCGCCUGCAUGAAGCUG